UCCCCUAGUAACUGCGAGUGAAGCGGGAAAAGCUCAAAUUUAAAAUCUGGCGGUCUCUGGCCGUCCGAGUUGUAAUCUAGAGAAGUAAUGCCCGCGCUGGACCGUGUACAAGUCUCCUGGGAUGGAGCAUCAUAGAGGGUGAGAAUCCCGUCUCUGACACGGACUACCAGGGCUUUGUGGUAUGCUCUCAAAGAGUCGAGUUGUUUGGGAAUGCAGCUCAAAAUGGGUGGUAAAUUCCAUCUAAAGCUAAAUAUUGGCGAGAGACCGAUAGCGAACAAGUACCGUGAGGGAAAGAUGAAAAGAACUUUGGAAAGAGAGUUAAACAGUACGUGAAAUUGCUGAAAGGGAAACGCUUGAAGUCAGUCGCGUUGGCCAGGAAUCAGCCUCGCUUUUGCGUGGUGUACUUUCUGGUUGAUGGGUCAGCAUCAAUUUUGACCACUGGAAAAAGGCCUGGGGAAUGUGGCAGCUUCGGCUGUGUUAUAGCCCCUGGUUGCAUACAGUGGUUGGGAUUGAGGAACUCAGCACGCCGCAAGGCCGGGUUUCGACCACGUUCGUGCUUAGGAUGCUGGCAUAAUGGCUUUAAGCGACCCGUCUUGAAACACGGACCAAGGAGUCUAACAUGCCUGCGAGUAUUUGGGUGGAAAACCCGAGUGCGUAAUGAAAGUGAAAGUUGAGAUCCCUGUCGUGGGGAGCAUCGACGCCCGGACCAGAACUUUUGGGACGGAUCCGCGGUAGAGCAUGUAUGUUGGGACCCGAAAGAUGGUGAACUAUGCCUGAAUAGGGUGAAGCCAGAGGAAACUCUGGUGGAGGCUCGUA
rnacentral:rRNA from 1 species